GCAAGUAUAGCCAAGCGGUCGACGGCGCCGGACUUGAGAUCCGGUGGGCUUAUGCCUUCGUGGGUUCGAAUCCCCCUACUUGCG
rnacentral:tRNA from 1 species